rnacentral:rRNA from 1 species
UUUCGCAAUGCCCGAAAGGGUGACGAAGCAACGCCGCGUGGGUGAGGAAGGCCCUCGGGUUGUAAAGCCCUGUCAGGAGUUAAGAAAUGUAAGUGCGCUAAUAUCGCAUUUAUUUGACGAAGGCUCCAAAGGAAGUCACGGCUAACUCUGUGCCAGCAGCCGCGGUAAUACAGAGGUGGCAAGCGUUGUUCGGAAUUACUGGGCGUAAAGAGCACGUAGGUGGGUUUGCAAGUCAGAUGUGAAAGCCUCCUGUUCAACGGGAGAAUUGCGUCUGAAACUGCAGAUCUUGAGUGUAGGAGGGGAGAAUGGGACUUCUGGUGGAGCGGUGAAAUGCGUAGAUAUCGGAAGGAACGCCGGCGGCGAAAGCGAUUCUCUGGCCUAUUACUGACACUCAGUGUGCGAAAGCUAGGGGAGCAAACGGGAUUAGAUACCCCGGUAGUCCUAGCCGUAAACGAUGGGCACUAAGUAGAGGGGUUUUA